rnacentral:lncRNA from 1 species
AAAAUAAAAAGGGGUGCAACACGAGGACUUCCCGGGAGGUCACCCAUCCUAGUACUACUCUCGCCCAAGCACGCUUAACUGCGGAGUUCUGAUGGGAUCCGGUGCAUUAGUGCUGGUAUGAUCGCACCCGUCAGUACAUCACUCUCGCUUACAUAUCCUUUUCGCAGCCAAUCCAAGUGUGAGGCCGUGGGACCCACAUGAUUUUCUUGCCAUUUUGUUUCGAGCGAAAAAAGUGCGUCGAGGUUAAUGGCGUUCAGAAAGCAUCAAAAACACCCUGAGAAUCCGCUUUCGAUCUUUUUUGCGUGCCAAAACUUUCCGCAGCCCGUUUGAGGGUCAAAACGGCUGAAUUUGAGCCCGAAAAAUUGGCGCCGCCUAUUCACUGCCCAUUAUGGUUUCUGGGGCUUUCCGAAAUGGUGCUAUGGGCGACGUAGUUCCUCACGGUUCAAAAGUUAUGAGGUUUCCAAGUUUAGACUCGUCUUAGGAUGCAUUAAAAAAAAUUAAAAAAUAAAAAGGGGUGCAACACGAGGACUUCCCGGGAGGUCACCCAUCCUAGUACUACUCUCGCCCAAGCACGCUUAACUGCGGAGUUCUGAUGGGAUCCGGUGCAUUAGUGCUGGUAUGAUCGCACCCGUCAGUAUAUCACUCUCGUUUCUACAUAUCCUUUUUGCAGCCAAUCCAAGUGUGAGGCCGUGGGACCCACAUGAUUUUCUUGCCAUUUUGUUUCGAGCGAAAAAGUGCGUCGAGGUUAAUGGCGUUCAGAAAGCAUCAAAAACACCCUGAGAAUCCGCUUUCGAUCUUUUUUGCGUGCCAAAACUUUCCGCAGCCCGUUUGAGGGUCAAAACGGCUGAAUUUGAGCCCGAAAAAUUGGCGCCGCCUAUUCACCGCCCAUUAUGGUUUCUGGGACUUUCCGAAAUGGUGCUAUGGGCGACGUAGUUCCUCAUGGUUCAAAAGUUAUGAGGUUUCCAAGUUUAGACUCGUCUUAGGAUGCAUUAAAAAAAAUUAAAAAAUAAAAAGGGGUGCAACACGAGGACUUCCCGGGAGGUCACCCAUCCUAGCACGCUUAACUGCGGAGUUCUGAUGGGAUCCGGUGCAUUAGUGCUGGUAUGAUCGCACCCGUCAGUAUAUCACUCUCGUUUCUACAUAUCCUUUUUGCAGCCAAUCCAAGUGUGAGGCCGUGGGACCCACAUGAUUUUCUUGCCAUUUUGUUUCGAGCGAAAAAGUGCGUCGAGGUUAAUGGCGUUCAGAAAGCAUCAAAAACACCCUGAGAAUCCGCUUUCGAUCUUUUUUGCGUGCCAAAACUUUCCGCAGCCCGUUUGAGGGUCAAAACGGCUGAAUUUGAGCCCGAAAAAUUGGCGCCGCCUAUUCACUGCCCAUUAUGGUUUCUGGGGCUUUCCGAAAUGGUGCUAUGGGCGACGUAGUUCCUCACGGUUCAAAAGUUAUGAGGUUUCCAAGUUUAGACUCGUCUUAGGAUGCAUUAAAAAAAAUUAAAAAAUAAAAAGGGGUGCAACACGAGGACUUCCCGGGAGGUCACCCAUCCUAGUACUACUCUCGCCCAAGCACGCUUCACUGCGGAGUUCUGAUGGGAUCCGGUGCAUUAGUGCUGGUAUGAUCGCACCCGUCAGUACAUCACUCUCGUUUCUACAUAUCCUUUUCGCAGCCAACCCAAGUGUGAGGCCGUGGGACCCACAUGAAUUUCUUGCCAUUUUGUUUCGAGCGAAAAAGUGCGUCGAGGUUAAUGGCGUUCAGAAAGCAUCAAAAACACCCUGAGAAUCCGCUUUCGAUCUUUUUUGCGUGCCAAAACUUUCCGCAGCCCGUUUGAGGGUCAAAACGGCUGAAUUUGAGCCCGAAAAAUUGGCGCCGCCUAUUCACCGCCCAUUAUGGUUUCUGGGACUUUCCGAAAUGGUGCUAUGGGCGACGUAGUUCCUCACGGUUCAAAAGUUAUGAGGUUUCCAAGUUUAGACUCGUCUUAGGAUGCAUUAAAAAAAAUUAAAAAAUAAAAAGGGGUGCAACACGAGGACUUCCCGGGAGGUCACCCAUCCUAGUACUACUCUCGCCCAAGCACGCUUAACUGCGGAGUUCUGAUGGGAUCCGGUGCAUUAGUGCUGGUAUGAUCGCACCCGUCAGUACAUCACUCUCGCUUCUACAUAUCCUUUUCGCAGCCAAUCCAAGUGUGAGGCCGUGGGACCCACAUGAUUUUCUUGCCAUUUUGUUUCGAGCGAAAAAGUGCGUCGAGGUUAAUGGCGUUCAGAAAGCAUCAAAAACACCCUGAGAAUCCGCUUUCGAUCUUUUUUGCGUGCCAAAACUUUCCGCAGCCCGUUUGAGGGUCAAAACGGCUGAAUUUGAGCCCGAAAAAUUGGCGCCGCCUAUUCACUGCCCAUUAUGGUUUCUGGGGCUUUCCGAAAUGGUGCUAUGGGCGACGUAGUUCCUCACGGUUCAAAAGUUAUGAGGUUUCCAAGUUUAGACUCGUCUUAGGAUGCAUUAAAAAAAAUUAAAAAAUAAAAAGGGGUGCAACAUGAGGACUUCCCGGGAGGUCACCCAUCCUAGUACUACUCUCGCCCAAGCACGCUUAACUGCGGAGUUCUGAUGGGAUCCGGUGCAUUAGUGCUGGUAUGAUCGCACCCGUCAGUACAUCACUCUCGCUUCUACAUAUCCUUUUCGCAGCCAAUCCAAGUGUGAGGCCGUGGGACCCACAUGAUUUUCUUGCCAUUUUGUUUCGAGCGAAAAAGUGCGUCGAGGUUAAUGGCGUUCAGAAAGCAUCAAAAACACCCUGAGAAUCCGCUUUCGAUCUUUUUUGCGUGCCAAAACUUUCCGCAGCCCGUUUGAGGGUCAAAACAGCUGAAUUUGAGCCCGAAAAAUUGGCGCCGCCUAUUCACUGCCCAUUAUGGUUUCUGGGGCUUUCCGAAAUGGUGCUAUGGGCGACGUAGUUCCUCACGGUUCAAAAGUUAUGAGGUUUCCAAGUUUAGACUCGUCUUAGGAUGCAUUAAAAAAAAUUAAAAAAUAAAAAGGGGUGCAACACGAGGACUUCCCGGGAG